rnacentral:rRNA from 1 species
ACGGGUGAGUAAUACAUCGGAACGUAUCCUGGAGUGGGGGAUAGCCCGGCGAAAGCCGGAUUAAUACCGCAUACGCUCUGAGGAGGAAAGCGGGGGACCUUCGGGCCUCGCGCUCAAGGGGCGGCCGAUGGCGGAUUAGGUAGUUGGUGGGGUAAAGGCCUACCAAGCCGACGAUCCGUAGCUGGUCUGAGAGGACGACCAGCCACACUGGGACUGAGACACGGCCCAGACUCCUACGGGAGGCAGCAGUGGGGAAUUUUGGACAAUGGGGGCGACCCUGAUCCAGCAAUGCCGCGUGUGUGAAGAAGGCCUUCGGGUUGUAAAGCACUUUUGUCCGGAAAGAAAUCAUCGGGGCCAAUACCCCUGGUGGAUGACGGUACCGGAAGAAUAAGCACCGGCUAACUACGUGCCAGCAGCCGCGGUAAUACGUAGGGUGCGAGCGUUAAUCGGAAUUACUGGGCGUAAAGCGUGCGCAGGCGGUGCUGUAAGACCGAUGUGAAAUCCCCGGGCUUAACCUGGGAACUGCAUUGGUGACUGCAGCGCUGGAGUAUGGCAGAGGGGGGUGGAAUUCCACGU